AGCGAUGGAGUUGAUUGAUCAGCUAGAAAGGACAAGGCGAGGGCCGUAUAGUGGUGGAUUUGGAGGAAUUUCAUUUUCUGGUGACAUGGAUGUUGCACUAGCUCUCAGAACUAUUGUAUUUCCUACUAGCACCCGUUAUGAUACAAUGUAUUCAUACGAUGAUCUAAACAAGCGGCGAGAAUGGGUUGCCCACCUCCAAGCUGGGGCUGGAAUUGUGGCCGAUAGUGAUCCUGCUGAUGAGCAGAGAGAGUGUGAGAACAAAGCUGCAGGCCUCGCUCGUGCCAUUGAUCUUGCAGAAGAAUCAUUUGUCAAGAAAUGAUUAAAUGUCAUGGAGUCUUUUUUGUUGUUGUCGUUG
rnacentral:misc_RNA from 1 species